rnacentral:rRNA from 1 species
CCUACGGGGGGCAGCAAUUAGGAAUCUUGCGCAAUGGGCGAAAGCCUGACGCAGCGACGUCGCGUGGAGGAGGACGGCCUUCGGGUUGUAAACUCCUUUUUUCGGGGAAGAAACAAAUGACGGUACCCGAAGAAUAAGCCCCGGCUAACUCCGUGCCAGCAGCCGCGGUAAUACGGAGGGGGCGAGCGUUGUCCGAAGUUACUGGGCGUAAAGCGCGCGUAGGCGGGACCAUAAGUCUGCUGUGAAAGCCCGGGGCUUAACCCCGGAGGGUCGGUGGAUACUGUGGUUCUUGAAGAGGCUAGGGGAAGAUGGAAUUGCCGGUGUAGCGGUGAAAUGCGUAGAUAUCGGUAGGAACACCAGUGGCGAAGGCGGUCUUCUGGGGUCUUCUUGACGCUGAGGCGCGAAAGCUGGGGGAGCAAACG